rnacentral:lncRNA from 10 species
AGCUUAUAUCUUAGUGGACUAAUUAGAGCAAGUCAGAAGAAGUCAGCCAGCACACACACCACCCCUGGUACCUAAUGCAGAAGAGACCGCCUUUACAUGAGCAAAUGGUCCUCUCUUCACUUCUGUCUCCUUUCGUGGUUACCUCAGAAAGCCAAGCAUGUAAUCAGGAGGAGAGGAGGGAAAGCAGCUGAGCAGGGUGUAGGAAUAGACACGCAGCUUGCACCAUCAGCAAAAUGUCAAGCACUGCGAGGUAAUUUGCUUUGGGGGAAGCCAGCUGCCAUGUUGUAAGCAGCCAUAUGAAGAGAUCCAUAUGGUGAGAACUGAGACCUCCAGCUACAGCCACAUGAGGGAGCCUGGAAGUGGAUUCCCCUGCCCUGUCAUAUCUUCAGAUGACUGCAGCCCUGCCCAACACCUUGAGUGCAACCUCAUGAGAGACCUUGAGACAGAACCACCCAAUUAAGUUACUCCCAGGUUCCUGACUCUCAGAAACUGUAUAAGAUUAUAGAUAUUUGUUGUUUUAAGCUGUUAAAGUUUUCAAUUAAUUUGUUAUGUGUCCUAAUACAAAGCAAAAGGUACUAUAGGUUUUUGUUUUGUUUUGCUUUUCUUCUAAUUUUUAAGUGACUUGAGGAUAGGAGCCACAUCUUAUUCAUCUACAGGUUUAGCAGAGUGCCUAAGGACAUAACAGAUCCAAUAACCAUUUUCUGAAUGAAUGAUCCUCUCCUUCCUGUUUUUAUCAUUAAAGUAAAUUCAAU